rnacentral:rRNA from 1 species
AUUGAACGCUGGCGGCAGGCCUAACACAUGCAAGUCGAGCGGAUGAAGAGAGCUUGCUCUCUGAUUCAGCGGCGGACGGGUGAGUAAUGCCUAGGAAUCUGCCUGAUAGUGGGGGACAACGUUUCGAAAGGAACGCUAAUACCGCAUACGUCCUACGGGAGAAAGCAGGGGACCUUCGGGCCUUGCGCUAUCAGAUGAGCCUAGGUCGGAUUAGCUAGUAGGUGGGGUAAAGGCUCACCUAGGCGACGAUCCGUAACUGGUCUGAGAGGAUGAUCAGUCACACUGGAACUGAGACACGGUCCAGACUCCUACGGGAGGCAGCAGUGGGGAAUAUUGGACAAUGGGCGAAAGCCUGAUCCAGCCAUGCCGCGUGUGUGAAGAAGGUCUUCGGAUUGUAAAGCACUUUAAGUUGGGAGGAAGGGCAGUAAGUUAAUACCUUGCUGUUUUGACGUUACCAACAGAAUAAGCACCGGCUAACUUCGUGCCAGCCGCCGCGGUAAAAC